UACAGAGGUCUCAAGCGUUGUUCGGAUUCAUUGGGCGUAAAGGGUGCGUAGGCGGCGCGGUAAGUCGGGUGUGAAAUCUCGGAGCUUAACUCCGAAACUGCAUUUGAUACUGCCGUGCUUGAGGACUGGAGAGGAGACUGGAAUUUACGGUGUAGCGGUGAAAUGCGUAGAUAUCGUAAGGAAGACCAGUGGCGAAGGCGGGUCUCUGGACAGUUCC
rnacentral:rRNA from 1 species